UGUCGGGGAUAAGAGAAUUUUAAUUUUGAAUUCUCACCGAUGUCUGACGCUUCUCCAUCUGUUGCAGAGUUUGCCUGUAAGCUUUGAUGGUAGCUUUUUGUGCCGGCACAUAAUCAUAAUUCCAUUCCACUGCCAAAAUCCAUGUUGUUCCGUUAAGUUCAAUUUGGAUUGUUGCUGGGAUUUCUGUAGCCUGGAAUUUGACUCGCAAUCUACAAUAAGAAGGAUUUUUUCCAGCAGUCUCUUGAUCUACCUCUGCUAAGCCUCCCAUUUGUGCUCCUAUUUUAUCAAAAUUUUCCUUUGACCAUAAUUGUACUCGUAGACCUUUAAUUUUUAUCCAGUUUUGAGCUGAGUACACAGAUCUGGCAUUAAUGGUAACAUCUUCAGAAAUCCAUCUUUGUACUUCCAUUGUUGUGUCUUUAAAGCUCCAUUUGAUGGGUUUCCAGCAGCUAUUCCAUUCCCAAUCAUUGUUAGGUUGAAAUGUUGCCAGAGAAUCAUUAAUAACAUUUAUUUUCAGAUAUCUACCCCAAUUAAGUUUAGUUGCAAUCUCUCUGGCUACUUGAUUCCAUGAAAUAGAUCCAUUAGCUACACAGCUGAAGGUACGCUGAGAUCUAUGAUUCGUCUUUGAUUGAUUGUUGUCCGGAAAGUCUUUCUCUGUAGGAAUAUAUUGAUGGCGUACCUCAGAUUUCCUUAGAAGUUUAUCUAACAGUUCAAGGAAUCUCAACCACCCAUAUUGAUUAUUUCCUUUUGGAAUGAAGAGAGAUUUCUUUGUACUUCUAUUGAUAUUUGUCCUUUGUACUUUGAUGAAUUCCCCCCUUUGAUUUUUGAGUUUCUCAAUUGUAAAAGAGAAAUUCCCUUCUUUAACUGGCCAUUUCUCACCGUUGAUGCUGCUUGAACGAACCACUCUUCUCAUAGUUGUACUAAUCCAUUCACCUAUCGUUGCUGUAAAGAUGAUUUUGAAGUUGAGGCCUCCUGCUCCUCGCUCAAUAAUCUUGAAUCCAUCAUGAUUUCCUAUUUUUUGAAAAGAGAAUUCAAAAGAUUUUGAAUCAAUUUGAGUUAUUGAUUCAGAACUCUCCUCUCUCGCUCUGACACUCUCUCUCAUUUCUCUCUAGCUGGUUUGGUUAUCCAUUUACGCCACACUUAUGAGCCUAAAGGUAACAAUUUUCUUCUCAAAACUGUUAACUUAAUAUUUUCUUAGAACGCAUUCAUUGCAGAAUCUCAAGGGUCAGUGGAUACUUUAAUUAUAUUUCACCAUUAUGUUCACCUUAAUUAAUUGGAUAUUAUUGAUCUUGCAUUGAAGUAAGAUGCUCUAAUUAUUUUUUUCUUCUUGCCCAGGGAAGUUUUCAUACAUGGUCUGCUUUAGCCCUAAUUUCUCUGCAAUUCGUAUAUUUAUGUUUCUUCAAUUCGUAUGCAAGAAGGGAUAAUACGUAUUUCUCUUUUAUCUAUUUAGCUUCAUUGUUUUGAUGGUUUACUUCAUGCUGUUAUUUCUCUUGCUUCUUUGCAGCUACAACAAAGAUUCUCAAGCAAUAACUUUUGGUAUGUUGUGAGAUGAUGUGAAUUUUAUGCAGGGAAACCAUGACUGUGUUCUUGGUGACUACUUAGAUGUGGAUGAUAUGGGAGGAAUAAUACAGAUGGUUUUAUUUGUACUUUCCUAGGAUAACGUGUAGAGGAGGUAGCUUUGUCUGAGCUUUCUGUCGAUGCUGGAGAUGAGAAUGUCGAGAGAAAUAUAUACAUCAAUGGGCGAUGGGUGAUGAAGGUCAUGUAGCUCAUAUCCUCAUAUUCUUUUUAUACAAGUAACCAAUGGGAUUAGCAUCACUGUUUUGGUAGAGAAUUUACCAGUAUAGCAAUGUGGGGUAUAGAGUGAGUGUGUUUUAAUUGCGUCUAAAUCAGUUUUGAUCGUGCUUACUGUUAGCAAGUGUACCAUUUUUUCUUUUUCAUAAUGGUUGGAAUUUUCUACUUCUUUUUUGUCCCAUGUUGUCGUCCUAAUUCCAUAGCUCUCAUGUACUAUUGUAAUGAGGCUUAUUUAAAGUUUUUAAGUUUGUAAAAAUAUUUUUACAAAUUUUAUAUCAUUGAUUUGAAUAAAAAAAACAAGCAACUAAA